AAAUUUGAAAUCUGGCUCUUUUAGAGUCCGAGUUGUAAUUUGCAGAGGGCGCUUUGGCGUUGGCAGCGGUCCAAGUUCUUUGGAACAGGACGUCACAGAGGGUGAGAAUCCCGUACGUGGUCGCUAGCCUUCGCCGUGUAAAGCCCCUUCGACGAGUCGAGUUGUUUGGGAAUGCAGCUCUAAAUGGGAGGUAAAUUUCUUCUAAAGCUAAAUACUGGCCAGAGACCGAUAGCGCACAAGUAGAGUGAUCGAAAGAUGAAAAGCACUUUGGAAAGAGAGUCAAAUAGCACGUGAAAUUGUUGAAAGGGAAGCGCUUGCAGCCAGACUUGCCUGUAGUUGCUUAUCCGGACUUUUGUCCGGUGCACUCUUCUGCGGGCAGGCCAGCAUCAGUUUAGGCGGUUGGAUAAAGGUCUCUAUCACGUACCUCCCUUCGGGGUUGGCCUUAUAGGGGAGACGACAUGCAACCAGCCUGAACUGAGGUCCGCGCAUCUGCUAGGAUGCUGGCGUAAUGGCUGUAAGCGGCCCGUCUUGAAACACGGACCAAGGAGUCUAACAUCUAUGCGAGUGUUUGGGUGUCAAGCCCAGACGCGUAAUGAAAGUGAACGGAGGUGGGAACCUUUUAGGUGCACCAUCGACCGAUCCUGAUGUCUUCGGAUGGAUUUGAGUAAGAGCAUGGCUGUUGGGACCCGAAAGAUGGUGAACUAUGCUUGAAUAGGGUGAAGCCAGAGGAAACUCUGGUGGAGGCUCGCAGCGGUUCUGACGUGCAAAUCGAUCG
rnacentral:rRNA from 1 species